UUAAAAUUGAGAAUGGAAAUGGGGAAUGUGUCAAAGAGACAACAACCCGACCAAAAUAAAAAAAAACACAACAGCAGAAGGUCACCAACAGGUCUUCAAUGUAGCGAGAAAUUCCCGCACCCGGAGGCGUCCUUCAGCUGGCCCCUAAACAAAUAUAUACUAGUUCAGUGAUAAUGAACGCCAUACUAAUUUCCAAAUUGUACACAAGAAACUAAAAUUUAAAUAAUACAAGA
rnacentral:lncRNA from 1 species